GAGCAUAUUCAAUCAUUAACAUCUGAACGGCUUGUAAAGCAGAAAACUGCUCUUGAACGCCAUAAUUAUCAUCCCACGUCCCAUUGUUCCAGAACCAAUAAAUACCGCAACUAGUACCACUGUAACCACCACAACAUUGCUUAGCAGCAGCAGCAGCACUAGUCUGAAUUAGUGGAUACAGUGUAUCAUAAGUAUAAGGAGCCAGUCGAAUGGUAUUUCCAAAACUUUGCAUAAAAAUACCCUUGAAUGCAGUUUGGUCGGAAUUACAGUCGUCGAAGUAUUCACAUUGGGGGUCCCAAGCUAUAUCAUCAGUAAAGAAGUAAGACGUAGCAUGGCUAAUAAGGCCAUCAAGCCGUUCACGCCAUACUGUUUCUCCAGUGUAGUUAUACAUAUAUGCAGCGCCAACCAUAAAGAUACCUAUGUUGUAAGACCAUUGAGAUGGAUCCAGUGUUGUACAAUUCGUCGAAGUAUCGGCGCCAUCAUACACAGCAUAAGUUGUGGUAUUGACAAAUCCAACGUCGGUGGUCCAAUCCCAUAUCUUGUUAGCCCAGUCCGAGUAGACACUUUCGUUUGUAAAACGAGCAAGUCUAGAGCUUAGUUGAAAGAGCAAUGCAUUACUAACUGAAGCUUUAUAGCUAUAUCCAUUCAACCAAGCAAAAGCUUGCCAACGUAAACCACCACCACACGUGCUUGAAUCCCAACGUCCGGACAUACGAUUAAACGCCGCUUGCGUUAACUCCAACCAUGAAUGUUCUGUUGAAUUUGGGGGACUAAAGUUAGCCUCUGCUGCAUCCAUUGCAGCGGCAGCCCACAUGCCUUGAUCAUCAUUUCCGAGAUUAAAGUAUUCAAACGAGGGC